rnacentral:lncRNA from 1 species
AUGUAUAACCAAGGACAAAAAAAGAGAUUACAUAGUGUUUUUUUGUUACCUGAGCAACGAUAACAACAACAACAACAACAACAACUACCCAGUAUACUCCCACCAGGUGGGGUCUGGGGAGGGUAAUAUGUAGGCAGUCUUACCCCUACCCAAAAGGGCAGUCUUACCUGAGCAACGAUAACAUAGAGUGGAAAUGUGACAAAACUAUACCAGAAUUGAGAAAUAACCCUGCAGCGACAAGUUAAAACGGGCCAUGCCACAAUGAGUGUAUUCAGCAACAAGUUAACAAGUGAGACAAAGAUAGGUACCUAAAUGACAAGCAAAUCAUGAAAAAUGUUUGAUUUUUUAUGAAACACGAUGAUCCCUUAAAUUCCCACUGUAUCAGAAAAGGAAAUCAGGGUUAGCCCCUAUGGAGAGAAUUUUGUAUCACUACAUAAAACAAUUAUCGCUUUUGCCUUUUCUAAGUAUUAGAUGAAAAUAUAAAAUAGACACAAACCACAUAUUAAAACCUCUAGUUUGCUCUCUGUCAUAUUUUCUUACACGUAGCUCAAUAUAACUUUGUAGUUUGCUUUAAGAGUUAAAAAGUUAAAUAAUGUUCUUUAGACUUGUAGAAGUUAUGUAGAGGCUUCCAAAAGGCAAAACUAUCAAGAAUUUAAAACAAGAAAAACACAAGGCAGAAGAUGUCACUCGCUCUGAUCACAAAAUAACAUGCAGUCAAUGGAGGGUAUGUGAAUAAUGUCCAGUACGCAAAACUUGCAUCUAUUGGCUACAAAAAGGCAAAUAUUCCUAAUAACUAUCUGCAGUAACCUAACUAGGAUCAAUGUUUCGUCAUAAGCGACUCUAAUUAUUCCCAUUGACAACAAGACAAAAUUAUUUUAAUUCAUUAUAAGCAGUAUAAGCAAAACCUCAAACAGAAAACUAAGUUCCCAUCUUACCAACGACCAAAUGUAUGUUGCCAUCUCAAAUGCAUUCUGCAUAUCAUUCAUCCAGAAGAGCAAUUAAUAAGGCAUAUAGGAGGCAAUAUAUCAUUGACCUAAAUUUAAUUAGCGCUCAUCUUAUUAAACCUUUUGAAUUUGAGGAUAACAUUAAUGUUAUUUUGCAUACCUGGAAUGAUAUAAAUUGUAUUAUCCGCAGCAGAAGCCUAGGCUUCCUAAACCAGAAGAGCUCGUCUCUGAGGUUAAACAAAUAAAAUUCUUCCCUUGGAUUUCUAUCAAUGAUUUCAACUGUCAGCUUAACCACCACAUGGUGAAGCUUGGUACCAACCAGAAGUAUUAACUUCCAAAAAUAAUUUCGAAAAGGUCAGAAUGGAAUAAGAAUGGAUUAUGCUUCUGAAGCAAAAAGAGAACAGAAAAUAACAAGUACAUAUAAUAAUAGGAAAGAAAGAUAUCCAGAAGUAGAUAAUAGUGCCUGGACAACGAUCAUCAAAACUAUUCAUCAUCUUUCUGAAAGAACUAAAUUAACAAUAGAACGACAAGGAUUCAAAACUAAUCAAUAGUAAACCUAUUACACAUUUUGGCCUUUUGCUUCAUUUACAUAUUAAUCUUUCCUGGUUCCUCUUCUACUACUGUAAAGAAGGGAUACGAUCAGGAAACAAUUCAAUAAAAGUACAAAUGUGCUUUUACAACAUCCUCUUUAUUUUUACUUUCAAAUGCUAAGCAAUUAGGGAUUUUGCGAUGCUGAAGUAGCAAAACAAACUGAAUCUAAGCAAGUCUGAAGUUGUAAAGUAGCUCGUUAAGCGAAUUUCCAUUACAGUAGUGAGAACUAAAAGAAAAUUUGAUAAAAUUAUCUGUUAGAUCUAUACAUGCUGUAAGUAGAAAUUAUAGGGAAUAUCGAGAGGAUAAAUUACCAUGAAAGCUUAAAAAUACACAAGGCAGAAUACAUAGACAAACACUUAAACUAUUAACGAAAGUUCACUUGAACACCUUAACUAAGACAUUUUCCACCAAAACACCUGCACCAGUUUAACACGUCCGACCUGUAGGGAAUAUAUUGUUAAUGAUUAUAUCCACCUUUAUGUUGUUGAUAAAAAUAACCAUAUUGAUAAAAUAACCCUAUUUUUUUAGUUGUCUUAGUACAACAUAAAGGUCGGACGUGUUAAAUUGGUACAGUAAAAGUAUAGUAAAAGUGUUUCGAUAGAAAAUAUCUUAGUUGAGGUAUUCAAGUGAACUUUCGUCUAUGUAUUAUGCCAAUUCACAAUGUAUGACGAAAAUCCAUAGUGGAGCACUGUAACCAAAGAAGAAUCAAAAGAAUUAUUUAGAUGAAUAAUUCAUAGUGGAAUACUGCAAUAAAAGAAAGAAAAAAAGAGAAAAAUCUUAGACUUUUGCCGUAACCAUGAUAUCUUACAGUUUGUGAAAUGUUGUAUUUAGUCUUCAAACGGACAAAUAUGUCAGGUGUUGUUUAUAGUCACAACAUAAUUGGACAUCAACAGCAAACCAUGCCUAGAGAAAGGAAAAGCGCGAAGUGUUGAUUGUCAUCAGCCAGGAACACACACCAAGGAAUAGUUAAGUGAUAGGUUUCCAAUGUUUUAGCUUUAUAUUUUGAUGAUCUAACAAAUUUAUUGUUAAAGAAUCAGAUAAGGAACCUGAUACAUUUGGUACAUAUUUUAAUCAACGGACUCCGGCUAAUAUGAACUGCUACAACUUCAGAAGAUAGAGAACCAACACAAGGACCUGAUACUCUUGUGUUUCCCAGACAGCAGUAUGAAGUCAACUGUGUACAGCUAGAGAGUGACUGCCUUUGACCAACCGAGUGAUUACAUCAUUCAAGUGGUAUUAAUAAGAGCACUACAACAAAACAUGACUUGAAUAUUUGAGAACUCACUUCAAGCAUUCAAGCCAUCUGACAUACGAGUAUUCAAUUCUCAAGUGUAUCAAGAACAAAGUUUAACACUACUAUGGACCAGUUCCUAAAUAUAGCAUAUUGUUUUCCUUAGUUAAGUUGUAACUUUAUAAUUGUUCUUCAUUAUAAUUCAUAAUUUACUUAGCUAGAACCGUUGCUUAGGCACCCCUUGUAAAACCAUAAACCCUUAGUGUUUGUGUAAUGACUAGAGUUAGUCAUGAGUUGAAGUAUUUGUAAUAGGUGUAUUACAAGUCAGUGAGGGAUUACGAGUUUAAUUAAUUCCUAGAUUGCAUAGGUUGUAAUCUAAAAGUUGCUCAUAGUGAAGUUGAAAUCCUACCAGUGUAUGUCGUGGUAUUUUAUCCCCUUGAACAUGGAUUUUUCCACAUAAAACUCCCUAUUUUAUUUACUUACUGUUUCAUAAGCAUUCUCAGCGGGAACUCAUAAGAGGACUUGAUCUCUCUAUAGUUUGGUGGACUCAUAUAAAUUAUCAAUUGGAAUCACAACAGGUUCCUCAUAUUAGGCUAACACCUAGAAAGGAUCCUUAUGGCUUCUCCAACAAAUUUCAAAGAAGGUCAAUCUACGUAUAGACCACCCGGGCUCAAUGGGCAAUACUAUGGGUGGUGGAAGACGAGAAUGCAUGAUUUCAUCAUGGCAGAAGACUCUGAGUUGUAGGAUAUCAUAUGUGAUGGUCCUUAUAUCCCAACAAAGAGUGUCGGAUAUCUUCCAUUGACGAUACCAAAGACUAUAAAAGAAUACACCGAUGCAGAUAGAAAAGCUUUGGAGAAAAAUUUUUGUGCCAAGAAAAUUUUGGUGUGUGGCAUAGGACCUGAUGAAUACAACAGGAUCUCGGCUUGUCAAACUGCCAAGGAGAUAUGGGAAGCUUUGCAAACAGUACAUGAGGGAACCAUUCAAGUAAAGUAAUCUAAGAUUGAUAUGCUUACCACUGCGUAUGAGCUCUUUAGGAUGAAAGACGAUGAGUCUAUUCAAGGCAUGCACACAAAAUUCAUUUCCAUAAUAAAUGAGUUACACUCAAUUGGUGAAGUCAUUCCUAGGAACAAGCUUGUGAGGAAAUUUCUUAGCAUCCUGCGUAGUUUAUGGGAAAGUAAAGUGAAUGCUAUUAUUGAAGCAAAGGACCUGCAGAAGCUAACCAUAGAUGAGCUAGUUGGAAAUCUGAAAACCUAUGAAAUGAAGAGAAAGAUAGUAGUGAAAGAAGAGAACCAAAGAAGGAAAAGAACCUGGUACUCAAAGAUGAAAGCAAUGACCUAAGUGAGGAGGACAGUGACAUGGCUUACUUAACCAAGGUUUUAGAAGAUGGUCGGAAAAAAUGAAGGAAUACUGAAAAAGGGCAACUCCAGCAGACCAAAGAACUAUUAUCUCUGCCAUAAGUGUGGGAAGCCGGGGCAAUUCAUAAAGGAUUGCCCUCUCAUGUAGCAAGAACACUCCAAAUACAACCCUGGUAAAGCAGCAACGAAGAACCCGGUUCCUAACAAACACUUCAAAAGGAAGAGAUCUGCUGACAAUGUGGUGAAGCAGACUCUUGCAGUAUGGGGAGAUUCCCCCGGUGAAUCUGAAGAAGAAAUCGAUGCAGGAGACAACUCCAUAAUGGCAGUUAAAAGUGAAGUAAAUGAAUAUGAUUCUCUAUUUACUUUAAUGGCUCAAUGAUGAAGAAAAUGAUAAUGAUGAGGUAAACUUCAGGGAUAUUCAGAGAAAUCUGAAAUCCUACUCCCCUAAUAAACUCAUGUCAUUAGCAAAUGUAUUAAUUGAUGCCUAUCAUAGUCUUGUAGAUUAUAAAGAUACCUUGACCUUAGAACUAGGAGAAGCUGAACAAACUAGAGAUGAUUUGGUAGUGUGUGUAGUUAAUAUAAAGGAAAACAUAAGUAAUCUUGAAAAUGAAAAGGUGGUUCUAACUGAAAAAAUUGCUAGUGUAGAACAUGAAAUAGAUGAUAUUGUGGUUGUAGCUGUUGACUAUAAGGACACUAUUGAGAUUUUCAGUAAAGAAAAAGAGGCCUUAGUUGUAGAGGUGAAUGCUAUUGAGCAAAAGAGAAAUAACCUUCUUGUAGUUGUAAGCACGUGAUUUUUGUCCUACAUGAAGAUAACUCCUAAAAAUAAGUCAAAAUAAUUUUUAUUGAAAUUUUAGGAAUUUUCCUUUAUUUAGUCGCAUUUCAUGCAUUCUAAUACUUAAAAAUCAAAAUAAUAAAUACAAAAAAAUAUCUUGCAUAGCAUUUAGGUCUUAUCGGAUAUCAUUUAGUUUUCAUAAAAAUUAAAAGUCAAAAAAAUAUUAUAUUUUUACACCUUUUCCUUUUGUUGAUUUUUCUCUUUUAAUUUAGGAUUAAGUAGCUUUUAUAAUUUUCAUAAUUAGUUUAAUUUUAUAUAAUUUAGGUUUUCAAUUCUAGAAUUUUUAUAAAAAGAAGAUAAAAAGAAAUUGGGAAUAAAAAAUAAAAAGAACCUUCCCCAAAAAUAUUUCACCAAAAAUAUUUAUCCACAUAUGAGACCUCCCCCAAAAUUAUUUCCCCCCAAAAAAUUUUCCGCAUAAAACCUUUUCCCAAAUACUUUCCCACAUAAUACCCCACCCCACACACUCUAUAAAAUCAUCUUAAAACUAUACAAAAAAGAACGAAGGAAAACUAUAAAAAAGGGGGACGGAAAAACAACAAAGAAACGAAAAAAUACAAAAGAGAAAAACGCCAAAAAAAGUUAAAGAGGAAUAAACUUUGCGUGAUGGGUUUUCUUCGUAAGAUUGAAGAAUAACUCUUCAACAACAACAACUACCCAGUAUACUCCCACCAGGUGGGGUCUGGGAAGAGUAAUAUGUAGGCAGUCUUAUCCCUACCCAAAAGGGCAGAGAGGCUGCUUCCAUGCGACCCUCGGCGCAUAGGACAGAAUGAAAAGCUGCAUUGGAAAACAAAGACAAAAUUAGUAACCA